rnacentral:tRNA from 1 species
GCCUGGGUGGCUUAGUCAGUUAAGCAUCUGCCUUUGGCUCAGGUCAUGAUUCCAGAGUCCUGGGAUCAAGCCCCAGGUCAGGCU